rnacentral:sRNA from 1 species
UGCAGUGGUGGCACUUCGGCGUAGCGG